GGAACUUGAGCAUCUGUGGAUUUUUGCAUCCAUAGGGAGUCCUGGAACCAUUCCCCCACAGAUACCAUGGGAUGACUGUAGUUGGUCAUCCCAACGACAGUGGUAAGUGCCUAUGAAUUUUUCCCUAUCCCACUUUGUAGCCAAAUGUUCCAGUGAUCAGUUCUGGAGUUUGUUAACUCAGGGAAUGUGUUUCCUCUCCUAGGUUAAUAGUUACUAAUGUUGCUGCCUGUUUGCUUCCUGCUUUAUUUAGGUUUCAUGUCCUUAGCAAGCUACUGAGUUUCAUGGCACCUAUUGACCAUACUACAAUGAAUGAUGAUGCCAGGACAGAACUGUACCGCUCUCUUUUUGGCCAGCUCCACCCUCCCAACGAAGGCCACGGGGAUUGACAUCGCCCACCUCCGACACCCAGUGGGCGCCUUGGCUGGUGCGGCUGCUGGUCCAGAUGGAGGAAACCAGUGACUUUAUGGGGCUGAGCUAGUAGGGAAGCCCCUGGGAAGGUGCUGCGUUCCGAACCUGUGCCUAAUACAUGCAAGGGCGCUGCCCCGCCCAACACCGCCUUUAAACGCCACAAAUAAAGAGCAUUGUUA
rnacentral:sRNA from 1 species